AUGAACUUGGGGUUUCUGUGCCGCCUUUAACGAGGAUUGUGCACGCUACCCCUUAAUCCUUUUAACACCUGUGCACAUUGAGAGAAUUGUCGAGUGGCUUAAUUGCCGCAUGGCGAAUCUCUAUUACAAACUCAUAGUCAAACGAAUGUUCAUUGGCCGAAAGGCUCUAAAUAAAA
rnacentral:misc_RNA from 1 species